AAACAACUGGAAGGUCCCAUGGCAGCAAGUAGAGGAAAUACAGGAAAUACAAGAGCUACUUACAUCUACAUUUGCACAGAUUCAGCAUGUUUUUCGCGAAGCUAAUAAAUUAACGGAUAAAUUGGCAAAUGAAGCAUGUGAGCAAAUGAAUGCAAUACAAAUUUACAUAUUUCAACAGCUAUCAGUGGAAUGUAGAGGAAUUGUGAAUAUGGAUAAAGCAGAAAUCCCCUCACUAAGGAUUAAAACAAGGAAGAUAACAGUCCAUGAAACACAUCAAGGGAGGGAGCAAGAAAUUAGCAGCAGAGCAUAGUUAUGCGAGAUUUGAAGAAGGAUUGCUGAGUUGGUUGACAGAUUCAGAUAGGAAUCACAUAAUUUCCAAUCAAUAGAUCUCAGGACUUGGCAGAGAAAUCGACAUGGAGUCCAUUGCAUCCACCGGAAUAUACCACUACAAAAGGAGAAGCGAUCAGAAAUGGAGAUAGUAACUACAACAGAGAAAUGAAGAGGAAGUAACACUUACUUUUGCGAACUGCGAACAAAGAGGGGGAAGAAGAGCAGGAGAUAAACAUAGAUAACCCACAACAUAAGGAUAAGGAAGGAGACCUGAAAACUCCUGUGAAGAGCAUAUUGAAGAAAGAGGCGGUGGAGACAGUGAGGAAGCAAUUAGGAAACUCUACCCUUCGGGCAUCUUUUACACUACGCCUUUUCCAUGUGAAUUGGACCCAUUAAUUCAUGCUUUUGUUUUCAUUUGGGCCUAUUAUUUCAGGUCUUUGUUUGUAAAUACUUUGAUUUACUGAAAUAAAGGAGCUUUUAGCUUCACCUAUUAAUUUUUUUUUUUAAAAAAAAAGGCAAC
rnacentral:lncRNA from 1 species